GAAGCUCUCUUUAAGCAUGCAAAUAUCACUCCUGUCAUCACCUCAACUGGUUUUCCUCUCUCUCCUCUUCUUAAUUAUACCAUCAUGUAGAAUUUGAUUUUGCCAUAUAAUAUAACAUACCUACAUAUAUGUUUUUACGUGACUGAUCAAUCUUUGAAUGUUUUGCAUCAAUAAAUAAGUGCUCAUGUGUAAUUCAAAGACUAGUGAUAAAGUGCCUUUAACAUACAAAUUUACAAUUUGUUUACAUAGAAAAUUAAAAACUAGUUCGUACUUGCAACCUGUAUAUAUUCGAAUCGAUUUUGUCCAAUAGUUAAUUUUGAGUCUAUUUGCCCAUAUUAAAUUGAAUGUUUUACAGUUUGGAAAGAGCGGAACCUUCUGUUUACCCACUUAUAUAGAUUCAAAUUACAAUGAUAUCAUGAUGAAUGGUUAGAGUUGGAUAAGGAAGUAGGUAGGUCAAAAGAAUAAGUGGAUGAGAGAGAAUAGGCUUCUUGUGUGUAAUCUUGCUGGAGAGAAAGGAUAUGAGAGAGAAAGUGAUGAAUAGGGUUUUGAAUAUGAUCCGAGAGAAUAAUUUUUUUUUUCUUUCGAAAUUGCUUCGAGAGAAUAGUUGCUGUUUCAGGACUCGCUUUGAGAGGUCCACAUGAUAAGCAAUGUAUAGUUAAAUUAAAUCUCGGAGUUUUAUGGAUCUUUCCGAAACCUUACAUCUCGACAAAAAACACCCCCUCAAAUCUCAAUGUGUUUGUCUGUGACUUCUUUACGUAACGUUCUCUCUUGCAUGUCCAUUUGCGCCACGUUAUCCAGCUGGUUCUCACGUUUGCGAUUAUUUGAUCACAAUGUAGAUUAUUAUGCGUGACAUGUCAACAGCCCAUUGGCCUCCAGUCAAAAACUUUGAUCUGCCGCUUCCACCUUACCCAACCAAAAACUGCGUUGCUCAAUUUGUCUUUUUUUUUUGCUUACCAUCAUCGUAACUUUACACUACACAUGUCAUAGACUGACGGUAUUACUAUAUCCCAAUGGAUAUUUUAUGAAUAGUAUUUAUAAGAAAUCUAUAUAAUAAUUGGAGUACUAUAGAUCUCAAUUAGGCUAAAACGCAAACUAACCAACUAAACAUGUAGAAAGCUGAAUAUUAUUGUUUUUUUUUUUUUGAAACUGGUGAAUUUACUGUUGUUACUUUAGAUAUCUUACAGUAUCAGAUAAGAGAAAUCUUGAUGAUCUUUCUAUGUAGCUAGUGGAAUAUAUGGUACUUGUCUUAGACCUACGUAUACAUAGAGAACGUUCUUAUACCUGAGCGUUCUUAAUUUCUUUUACUUAUUUUGUUAAUACCCUUCUAUUUUUAUAUGCACAUUAUUCUCAUGGCUAUUUAUAUGUGUUAUCAUGAAUACUAGCGAGUUGUUUGCUUUGACAUUUUAGAUUAGGGGAUAAGGGUGAUUAAAUGUUUAUUCAUGAUGUUUUUUUGAACAAAUGUUUAUUUAUGAUGUUUAGGGAUUAAAUUACAGUGAUCCUUGCUUAUUGACAUAUUCCAUCUUGCUAGUCAAUAUCUAGAACUUGAGGUGUUUGGUAUAAUAUUUAAAUUAAUUUUACAAGUGCUUUAUAUAUUUAGCCGAUGGAUUAAAAUAUUUAUUGGCAAAUUUAUACAUGCUUAGCUUGUUAUUACUAAUGAAAAUGGAUAUUAAAUGCUUUAUUAAUGUAGAGCUAUAUUUUCAUGAAAGUGUAUUACUUAAAUGGGUGUUCAUAGAUUUAAUAUUAACAUCGAUUGAUUGAAUUUAUAUCAUGGAUCACCCAAGUCACUAACCUUGACCCCAAGGUAAUUUAGUUUCUAUGCAUGUCAUUAAGCUUCGGUUCUCAUUUACUUAUUUGUUUGUUUUACUUUUGAAUCUUGGCUGGCUUCUUUUACUUGCAUUUGUUUCUUGGUUUAGUCUGCUUUAGUCAUAUCGAGUUUUAAGUUGUAUCUUAGUUAAGUGUUUUUUUUAAUUAAACUUAUUUAUUUUAGAUUAAUUAUCAUUUACAUGCAUUCCCAGUGAAUUAGCUCUUGAUUUAUCCUUAAGGAUUGAUCCUCGAGUAUUGUAAUUAAUGGCAUAUGCCCACAUGUAUAAGAAACUUCGUAUCACAAAUGUAAAGUCGAACGCACACAUGUAUAGUUUACCUUAGCUAUACAUUAUAAAUUACAACAGUUUUCUUUCUUGGUGGAAGCUUUAAAAAAGUGCUAACACUUAAGUUAUAGAUUUCACAGUAUAAUUUAUAUUCUAUUUUUUUACCAAAAAAAAAUAAAAUUAUAUUCUAUUUUAAUAACACUGUUAACUACAAUUGUUCAAGACAUUUAUUUAUUUAUUUAUCACUACUUUAAAAUUUCGUUUUCUUCCAUUCAUCAAUCAUGCUAUUACAGCCUCUACAAAAUGCAUUCUAAUAUAAAAUUAACCAUAAACUUAAAAAUAUAGAUAUCUAGAACAUUACGGAAAUUAAUAAAUUAUUAUGACUAAAGUGUAAUUUUGCAGAAAAUAGUAAAAAGAGUGGGCCAUGGAUCACGUGGAUAAAGCGUGGGAUGGAAAUAGAAAAAACAAAGGAGAAGAGAGAAAGGGUGAUUUUACAAAUCUCUUCUAAUCCUUUCUCAGCCAAUUAUGAUCAAUCUCCCACGUGGGACUUCUGGCCCAUGCAUACACAUCAUCUUUCAACUAUACACUCUUUUGUCUUCUUGUUUUUUUGGGUGAUCUUCUUCUAUAUAUGAGUGUCUUUAUCUCCACAAGUGUCUUUUAGAGAAGGCACUCUUUUAAGUUAUAGUGUUAAUUCUAGGGUUUCUAUUACCAAUGGCUGAUUCUUCUUCUGCUUCUUACAUUCACAUGGUACUAUGUUUAUAUGAUUCAAGAACUCCAUAUGCACUCUUCUUCGCAAAGGAUUUAUGAGUGAUUUUAUUUGUGUUUUAUUUAUAUCUCAAUAUCUUUGGAUCAAUCGUUUUUUAUAUGUACAGGUGCACCACAUGAUAGAGAAAUGUUUGAUCUUCAACAUGAGCAAAGAAGAGUGCGUGGAAGCUCUCUUUAAGCAUGCAAAUAUCACUCCUGUCAUCACCUCAACUGGUUUUCCUCUCUCUCCUCUUCUUAAUUAUACCAUCAUGUAGAAUUUGAUUUUGCCAUAUAAUAUAACAUACCUACAUAUAUGUUUUUACGUGACUGAUCAAUCUUUGAAUGUUUUGCAUCAAUAAAUAAGUGCUCAUGUGUAAUUCAAAGACUAGUGAUAAAGUGCCUUUAACAUACAAAUUUACAAUUUGUUUACAUAGAAAAUUAAAAACUAGUUCGUACUUGCAACCUGUAUAUAUUCGAAUCGAUUUUGUCCAAUAGUUAAUUUUGAGUCUAUUUGCCCAUAUUAAAUUGAAUGUUUUACAGUUUGGAAAGAGCUGGAGAAAGAGAACAAGGAGUUCUUCAA
rnacentral:lncRNA from 1 species